AAUAGAUACCCGGUAGUCCACGCCGUAAACGAUGAGUGCUAAGUGUUAGAGGGUUUCCGCCCUUUAGUGCUGCAGCAAACGCAUUAAGCACUCCGCCUGGGGAGUACGGUCGCAAGACUGAAACUCAAAGGAAUUGACGGGGGCCCGCACAAGCGGUGGAGCAUGUGGUUUAAUUCGAAGCAACGCGAAGAACCUUACCAGGUCUUGACAUCCUCUGACACCCCUAGAGAUAGGGCUUCCCCUUCGGGGGCAGAGUGACAGGUGGUGCAUGGUUGUCGUCAGCUCGUGUCGUGAGAUGUUGGGUUAAGUCCCGCAACGAGCGCAACCCUUGAUCUUAGUUGCCAGCAUUCAGUUGGGCACUCUAAGGUGACUGCCGGUGACAAACCGGAGGAAGGUGGGGAUGACGUCAAAUCAUCAUGUCCCCUUAUGACCUGGGCUACACACGUGCUACAAUGGGCAGAACAAAGGGCAGCGAAGCCGCGAGGCUAAGCCAACUCCCACAAAUCUGCUCUCAGUUCGG
rnacentral:rRNA from 1 species